UUGGUAAAAACACAUCAACACUACUGCUAAUUCGGUGAGUUGACCCAUCCAUUUUUCCGAGAAAUGGAGAAUCAGAAGGCCAAAGAGACAAAAACCGAGCUCGGAAAGAAGAGAACGGUAGAGAGAGAUCGAAAAUUAUAGAGAGACUCUUCGAUUAUGUUAAAACCCAAGGAGUUUAAGACAGAUUCUCUCUCACUUUUUUUUUCCCGUGGUUUAAUUCAUCUCUCUCCAGGGUGAGGAGUUGCA
rnacentral:misc_RNA from 1 species